GUCGGACCACUCCAACGUCGUUAAUUUACUUUCCAUCCAACGGCUGGGUCUUCACGACUGGGUCUUCUUGAAAAAAGGAAACCCCUUAACCCCGCACGUUGACCACCUAAAUCCCCAAAUUUCCGGCCAGUUACGCCUCCACCAAAUUGAUCUGCUGCUCGGCGCCUCCUCUCUACGCGAUUCUGGUAUACCACGGCACCUCGCCUCUCGCCGCAGCGCCGCAGCCUCUCACCCAGGCAUAGAUCUGCGCCUCCACCUGGAUCGACUCCAGCAUUGGGGAAUCAUGAUGGAGCCUCCCUGACCGCCGUCGGCCGGUGCAGAAGGGUUGGAGGUGGCUUUGCCGGCCGACCAAGGUCACACUCUCCUUAGUGGAUUUGAAGCAGUCUGGAGGCUACUUCCACUGGUCUAGGUCACCAUCAACGACGACAUGAAUGGGGGGAAGCGGGCCUUCAAGUUGCAGCGUCUCUCUGUCCAUGCCGCUCCAAUUAUCGCGCAUAGUCGAGCAGCGGAAGGAAGCACAAUCACCAUCUAAACGAAGCACCAUCACGGUUGGAAGGAAGCAUGGAAGAAUUGGCCGGUGGUGUGUAACGAAGCACGACCACUAUCUGAAUGAAACACGAUCACCAUCAAAGGAGCAUGGUGAAAAUAGCUGGUGUCGCGAGACGAAGCAUGGCCACCAUUUGAAUGAAGCACGGUCACGAUCAAAAGGAAGCAUGGAAAUCAUCGUGUGUUGCCAUCUGCAUCCUCCAAGACUGUAGUCUAGCCCCAUAUGACAUAUUUUUUUGCUUUAUGGAAGCAACCCUAAAGCAAGUAGCAUAUAAUGAAAAAAAAUGUGCUUCCAUCGAUUAAGGUGAA